CUUUUAGAAUACGCAAUACCUAGUCAUGAUAAUUAUAAUCAUAUAAAUUUAAAUAAUUCGGGUUGGAUGCGUUGUCACGGAGAAAACAAACUCGCAACUUUUAACUGGAAGAUUACUAUCAAAAGAUCGGUUGUACUUAAGGCUUAAAGUUUGAUUACACUGAAACGGACUUAAAAUUUUGCAGAUAAAAGUAUAAAAUUCAUUUUGGACCACGUCAACAACAAGAUAAAACUAGACGACGCACCUGUUGUUUGUUGAUAGCUGAUUCCUGUUAGUAAAUAUUUAAUGGAAUAAAGGCAUUUUAUCAUUGAAUCAAUCGUGAGUAAACAUUUUUAUUCAAUUUUCCAUCUAAUCGUUCUUAUAUAUAAUACAUGUAUAUUAUGUCAUUAUCAAAUAUCUUAUUUUGCUUAUGUUUCCACCAGGUAUGUUCGAUCUCUUUAUGGGAUGCACUUUUAAACCUGUCUAGGUUCAUAUUAUAAAGAAUGGAUUUAAAAUUGUUCAUGUGUGAAUAUUUUAUACAUCAUUUAAGCAAGAAUAAUAAUUGAAAUAUAUUAUUACGCUAGCGCAUCAAAUAUCCUGACUUGAUCAAUAAGUGUUAUUUUAUAUUUUACAUAGGUUGCAUAUGGAGAAGAUAGAUUCUGGAUUAGAAUUUGACAUGCUUAUUACGUGAGUAAAUUUACAAAGACAAAUUCUCAUUGUAUAAUUUAUCAUUAGAUGUUGACGUUUACUACAUGUAUAUAAAUACAGGUAGAGUUUUUGUUACAUUUUUUUACAACACACUAUUUGUAUAUAGAGUGCUUGCUACAUAUGCAUUAAAUGUAAACUUAUCAGAGUUUAAAAAGUUUUUCUAUACACUUGACUAGACAUUUCACUAUAAAGAGCAACAAUUAAUGCAUAACUUUUCGAUGUAUAUGCAUCCCCUAUUUCAUUACUUUUGGCAUUUCGUUUUUCUCUUACAUUUAUUCAUUCGUAUUACAACGAGUUAACUGCAGCUGCUCAAAUAUUUAUUUCAACGCGGAAAAGGUAAUUAAAUUUUAUACCAAUUAUCAAAAAUAGGAUAUUAUAAUAUUCCUGUACCUAAAUAGGUUGUUGAUUUAGUAUGUCUUGACAUUGGACAUGUAACCUGUGACAAAUAGAUGUAAUAGUCCCAUGUGCUACUUUAUAAAUUAAUACAUUGGCAUUUUGUUAUCUAUUUAUAUCUUUACUGAUUAUAUGUACAGAUCUAAGAGACAAGAGCAAGGAAACACUUAUAUGAUUAAUAGAAAGGAAGGAAAACAAUAGAGAUAAUGACAAAAAUGUCAAUGAAGCGACAAACAAAGCGACAAAAUAAAUGUGAAAAACGAGUCGAAACCGAAAAUAAUUAAAUAAAUGAAAUCGAAUUUAUUAUAACGGGUUGACUGCUGCACAAAAUGUAAUUUCUAUCGGGAAAUAUUUAUACACUGACAACAUCAAGAACUUCUCUGAGAUUAAGCUUCAGAACCCCUAUCGCAGCAAUGCGUUUUGUUAGCAUUAAUCGGUUAACUUUUCGGAGUUUGAACAAGCAUAUCAAAGUGAGGAAAAAAAAAACCCGAGGGAAUUCAAAUGGAGCGAGACUGGGUGCAUCGACAGAAUAAACCGCAUAGGAAGGGCGACAACCGUGUUUUCAUAUUCAUUCAGAAGAAAAAGACUGUUUAAUAAAAUUUCUAACCGUUUUCCCUUUUAGUAUUUUUAGGAAAUAAGAUAGGUUUAAACUAAGCAAUGAACAAAAUAAGACACUUUAAUUCAAUACUACAUGUAUGCUACAUUUUUAUUCAUUCUCUUUUUAGGUAAAAUGGAUUAUGUUAAAUCAGCACUACAGAUAAUUCUGCUUGGUUUUUUCUUCUUUGUCUUAGCGUGGAUUUGUGUAUACGCAGACAAGUUGUUACUGGUAUUUCAGAGUUUUUAGUAUAGCUAUUUUGGUGGACCAAGAUUGUUCUAAAACAAGUUUUUUAGCAAUGUAAACAUUACAAUACACACAUCAAUAUGCAUAUGGAUAUCUCACUGAAUUGAUGCAGUCCACCAUUUUAGAAUCUUUCUAGCUUUUGGAUACGUGUGCAUGGACAGAUUGAAGUUUAACAUUCAAUUUGACUUAUUUUAUCUAAACUAAUAUCAUAUUUUUAAUUUAAUAUGUAUGAAAUGAAUGAAAACAUAGUUUAUUAAAU
rnacentral:lncRNA from 1 species